rnacentral:rRNA from 1 species
AUUGAACGCUGGCGGCAGGCCUAACACAUGCAAGUCGAACGAGUGGCGGACGGGUGAGUAAUGUCUGGGAAACUGCCUGAUUGAGGGGGAUCACUACUGGAAACGGUAGCUAAUCCCGCAUACCAUCAGAUGUGCCCAGAUGGGAUUAGCUAGUUGGUGGGGUAACGGCUCACCAAGGCGCAGCUCCCUACCUGGUCUGAGAGGAUGACCAGCAACACUGGAACUGAGACACGGUUCAGACUCCUACGGUAGGCAGCAGUGGGGAAUAUUGCACAAUGGGCGCAAGCCUGAUGCAGCCAUGCCGCGUGUAUGAAGAAGGCCUUCGGGUUGUAAAGUACUUUCAGCGGGGAGGCGUUACCCGCAGAAGAAGCACCGGCUAACUCCGUGCCAGCCGCCGCGGUAAUAC